AGUAAUAUGAUUUUUUCUGUGUUGGUGUUGUGUACUCAGGUGAGUACACAACACCAACACAGAAAAAAUCUAGUAAU
rnacentral:miRNA from 1 species